rnacentral:lncRNA from 1 species
GAAUUGGUUAUGGCUGCGUGCUGAUCUAUUUUGGGAACCAUUAUUCUGCAGUGCUGGACUAUUUGACUGAGUCGGCUCUGGUCCCACACUAUACACUAUUGAGGCUUAAAAAAAGAAAAAGAAAAAGAAAAAGAAAAAAAAAGUCUGCAUCAACUCGGAAGCUUUCAACUGCAAGUUUUGUAAUUUUCUCGUGGACCUAACUUGAAAAACUGAGGUGGCCUCAUUGGACUCAGAAACUCACGUGAGGUUUGAAGCUAUCUGUUUUCUCCAUGUCCCUGACUCUCUGUGUUUCUGGUUCAUGAUUCCACCAACUGUGGGUUGGCCUUACUUCCAUCUGCCAUAAAGGUACCUCCACAGGACUGGAGAUGGCAGGGAAUGCCCCUCUGACCUUCAUGAUGUCAAUGACAAAGUCUCUAUCCUGCUUGCUCCCUCCUCAAGCAAGCUUUGAGCUGUUCUAUACCCUUUCCCUGAGCCAGUUCUUUUGUCAUAGGACUGGCAAUGGCCCUGUCUGCAUGAGAAGGGAAGGUACUGUAGGGGAACUUCAACCUGUGUACAGCAGUGACUGUCAGACUCUAUUCUAACCACUAUGGUCCUGAAGCCAUAGACCAGUCUUCUGCCUUUGGUCACUCUUGACUUCAGUUCACCCUGUACUAUCAUAGAAUCAUCUCAAUUCACUCUGUAAUAUCAUAGGAUCAUCUCAAUUCACACUCUACCAUCAUAGAAUUAUUCCAGAGACUCCCUUGGUCAUGUCAGUUUUCUUCUCAAAAACUCACAGGGAUUCCCAGAUGUCACCUAAUCCAGGGAAUGUCACCACACACUGUAUUGGCCUGUUCCCAGCUGUCUGUCAGCCUCGGGAUUCUGGUUCCUUCUCCCAGCUCAGUGCACUGCUCUCCGUUUUCCUAAGCUAAAAGGCCUUGGUUGCUUCACCUUCUGAUCUUGCCUGUCACACAAGACUCUUCCUCGCCUUGUGUUCUUCAGGAGGCUUCUCUGACUCCACUCCCCUCCCCUAUACACUAUGGGGCCAAGGAAAAUGGAAUUCUUAGAAUUCCAGGCACUGGGAACUUUGCCUUUUCCCAGGGAAAUCCUAUAAUUCCAUCAACACUUUUUUUACAGACCCUAUUCCUGUGUCCCAGAGCCCAGGGUUCUUCGCUGAGAGAGGAUCUUUUAGUACCAACAGCCCCAGUACACUGAAGGACCAGUGUAUGGAAUGAUGUGGUCUGGGUCCAGAGAUGGGUAGUUCAGACAAUUUCACCUUAAUUUCCUUUCAGAAUGUGAAACUAU